AACUUUCUUUAAUGGCAGGGGGUGGGGGUGACCCCUGGGGACUAACCCUGUAUUUCAUUUGAUGUUCUUUAUCAUGACAAACCAGAAUAUAUAUAGAUUAGGGGUGGGGAUCUCGACCAUUUACAAGAUAUUAGAACUUUCUCAAAUGGCAGGGGGUUGGGAUGACCCCUGGGGACUAACCCUGUAUAUCAUUCAAACCAUCUUAGCAUGACAAACCAGAAUAUAUAUGGUUUAGGGGUGGGGAUCUUGACCACUUACAAGAUAUUAGAACUUUCUUAAAUGGCAGGGGGUGGGGGUGACCCCUGGGGACUAACCCUGUAUUUCAUUUGAUGUGCUUUAUCAUGACAAACCAGAAUAUAUAUGGUUAAGGGGUGGGGAUCUCGACCAUUUACAAGCUAUUAGAACUUUCUCAAAUGACAGGGGGUCGGGAUGACCCCUGGGGACUAACCCUGCAUAUCAUUCAAACCAUCUUAGCAUGACAAACCAGAAUAUAUAUGGUUUAGGGGUGGGGAUCUUGACCAUUUACAAGAUAUUAGAACUUUCUUAAAUGGCAGGGGGUGGGGGGUGACCCCUGGGGACUAACCCUGUAUAACAUUUGAUGUGCUUUAUCAUGAAAAACCAGAAUAUAUAUGGUUUAGGGGUGGGGAUCUCGACCGCUUACAAGAUAUUAGAACUUUCUCAAAUGGCAGGGGGUCGGGAUGACCCCUGGGGACUAACCCUGUAUAUCAUUCAAACCAUCUUAGCAUGACAAACCAGAAUAUAUAUGGUUUAGGGGUGGGGAUCUUGACCACUUACAAGGUAUUAGAACUUUCUUAAAUGGCAGGGGGUGGGGUGACCCCUGGGGACUAACCCUGUAUUUCAUUUGAUGUGCUUUAUCAUGACAAACCAGAAUAUAUAUGGUUUAGGGGUGGGGAUCUCGAUCAUUUACAAGAUAUUAGAACUUUCUCAAAUGGCAGGGGGUCGGGAUGACCCUUGGGGACUAACCCUGUAUAUCAUUCAAACCAUCUUAGCAUGACAAACCAGAAUAUAUAUGGUUUAGGGGUGGGGAUCUUGACCACUUACAAGAUAUUAGAACUUUCUUAAAUGGCAGGGGGUGGGGGGUGACCCCUGGGGACUAACCCGGUAUAACAUUUGAUGUGCUUUAUCAUGAAAAACCAGAAUAUAUAUGGUUUAGGGGUGGGGAUCUCGACCAUUUACAAGAUAUUAGAACUUUCUCAAAUGGCAGGGGGUCGGGAUGACCCCUGGGGACUAACCCUGUAUAUCAUUCAAACCAUCUUAGCAUGACAAACCAGAAUAUAUAUGGUUUAGGGGUGGGGAUCUUGACCACUUACAAGGUAUUAGAACUUUCUUAAAUGGCAGGGGGUGGGGGUGACCCCUGGGGACUAACCCUGUAUUUCAUUUGAUGUGCUUUAUCAUGACAAACCAGAAUAUAUAUGGUUUAGGGGUGGGGAUCUCGAUCAUUUACAAGAUAUUAGAACUUUCUCAAAUGGCAGGGGGUCGGGAUGACCCUUGGGGACUAACCCUGUAUAUCAUUCAAACCAUCUUAGCAUGACAAACCAGAAUAUAUAUGGUUUAGGGGUGGGGAUCUUGACCACUUACAAGAUAUUAGAACUUUCUUAAAUGGCAGGGGGUGGGGGUGACCCCUGGGGACUAACCCUGUAUAACAUUUAAUGUGCUUUAUCAUGAAAAACCAGAAUAUAUAUGGUUUAGGGGUGGGGAUCUCGAUCAUUUACAAGAUAUUAGAACUUUCUCAAAUGGCAGGGGGUCGGGAUGACCCCUGGGGACUAACCCUGUAUAUCAUUCAAACCAUCUUAGCAUGACAAACCAGAAUAUAUAUGGUUUAGGGGUGGGGAUCUUGACCACUAACAAGGUAUUAGAACUUUCUUAAAUGGCAGGGGGUGGGGGUGACC